GUUUUUUGUUUUGCUUUUUUUCAACAGAUGAAGUUGUUGCUUUUACUUGUGGUACUGGGAACAGUAUCUGCUGGAGUUCAAGAUCUUUCUGGCAAAAUGUUUACCUUCCCACAGUUAACUAACUCAGCUCAUGUGAGACUGAACCCAACCAAACUGGGUUACAAUGCUGUAACUGUCUGUCACAGAUCUGUUACAGACUUCGAGAGAGACCACGCCAUAUUUUCUUUAGCUACACCUUCUCAAAACAAUGGCUUCCUGACUUUUUGGAAGAAUGGAAACCGAGAGAUCCAGCCCC